CCCCAGGCAGGGGCAGAUGCGUGGGCCAGUUCUGCGCCCACUCCGCGGCUCCUCUGGGUGCCACGAGGGACUGGGAGUGCCAGCCAGGGGACUCCCAGCAUGGGCAGGGGGUGCUGUCACUGCUGUACCUGGGAGCUGCCGCUGCACAGUGAAGCCAAAGCUGGGGCAGCUCUUGGCUUCUGGGCUCCUUGCAGGGGUGACAGCAGGAUCUGCUUGUUGGUGGCUGCUGCUGCACUGUGCCAGGAGCCCACGGAGGUCCCAGCUGUGUUCAGGGCCAAAAGGGUCAUGUAAGAGCCCAGCUCGUUUCUCCACAGGCCCUGCAGGUGAGCCUGGGGCUUGUGUGGUGGCUCGGUCAGUGCCCAGGCUCAGUCCCACGUUCAGCCUGGCUGAGCAGGGCAUGUGUGUCCCAUGGCACAGCCCCUCGCCCUGGCAGCUGGGACCAGCGCAUGGGCAGCACUCAGGAGAGCAGCCCUCAGUCUCUGGGCAGGGCAGCAGAGCUGGAGGUACCCAGUGGAAGGGGGAGGUGACCCACAGCAGCCACAGGAAAGCACAGCCAGAGCUGGCAGCCUCCUUGGUCAUGGACACUGCACUGUGGCAUGGCCCAGCAUGGUGGAGGACAGUGCACCCAGAACCUGCAGCCCCUCAGGCAAAACCUUUGUGUGCUGCUGGGGUGGCAGAGCAUGGCACAGAGAAAACACCAUGGGGAUGGCACAGCCAGGGCAUGCAGCCCCUCGCCCCCCACCCUGCACCUGGACAGCUCAGCUCAGCACAGCACGGCUCAGCACGGCCAGACUGCCCCAGGGCUGCUCUCACCUCCCUGGAUGCAGCACCACGGGCCAUGAGCAGGGCCAGGGCGAGCAGCAGCAGCAGCCCUGGGUGCCCAUGGUGCUGGGGGCUGUGUGUGGUGCCCAGACUCUGCUCCUUUUAUAUCAGAGGGGGCUGAGCCUCCUGCCAAGGGACACCCAUGAGAUAGGAGAGCCCCGAUUCCUCUGGACGGUGAUGGAGUCUGGGGGGACACUGAGUGAGCUGGCAGGGAGCACAGCGAGGGCAGCAGGUGAGAAGAGCAUUAAAGAUACCACAGGCAGAGUGUGGGAGCUUUGAGGACACUACAGGAAACACGUUGGAUCUCUGGGACACCACAGAAAGGGUGGAGGAGUUCUGGGGACACCACAAGAAGGGCUAUUAUCUCUUUCUGGCCAUGGCGGG
rnacentral:lncRNA from 1 species